rnacentral:lncRNA from 1 species
UCACGGGCCGGUUCCACCUUCAAAACCUCCAGAACCGGAACCGCCAGAAUCGGAACCGCCAGAACCGGAACCGCAGACCCAAAUAGACCCAAAACCGGAACCGAAUAUAGCCUUAUAUAUGGAGUACAAUCUCAUCCACUAUUAAUAACAACACCAAACCCAGUGCCAUUAUCGUAGAGGAGCGGUUGAAGGUUUAAUUUGUCAAUUAUUUUACAAGUAUUAAAAUUAGUGAAAAAUAGAGUGAUCUUAUCCUGGUUCAAGGUGUGUACAAGUUGAUUCAAAUAACCAGAUAUGUAAAAGAAAAUGAUGAGUUUACCAAGACACUCUUCGAAUUAUAAAGGCAUAGUAGCCUAGUAGACAUUUGUACUUACAUCUAGUUGAUAUUUCGAUUCCACUACUUUGCAAAGUUUCAUCUAAACACUUAUAAAAGAGUAUUUUAAACACCUCUGACCAAUGACCAUGAUAUAUGUUUCCACUUGCUUGACAGGAAUGACAACUUGCGAUAUCAUUUUUUAUCUUUGUCAAUUAAAAAUGUUAUUUGAAAAACUAAAAUUAAAACCCGCCGUUUCACGUUUUCUCACCCAUUUUUGGGUCCUUUAAAUCAUGUUUCAGUCAACCCACCGAAACAAUGGCUCAUAUACAUAUUUUCUCCAAACGGACAUAAUUGAUAAAAUUUAAUUGACGCUCACACACAAAUUAACAAUCACUUCACCCCUCACCGUCAACUUUCCAGUCUUACCCAUUUUUAGAAGCACUAGUGACCAUCGCGACACCACUCCUUCCUCCAGCGACAAGCAGUAGUAGCCAUAGAAGAUAACCAUCAAGCUCAAAAUUUUGAAAUGCUUCACUCGCCAGAAGAUAUAUCCAACAAACUUAGUAUUUAAGAAGUAUUGAAAUUUAGACAAAAUUUAUAUAUUUUACUAUAUUUUUGUUUUUGGAGAGUAUUGGUGAAAGAAAAAUUUGAUUUAGAGACUUUAACCACCAAAAUAAAUGGUAGAACUAUAGAAAGGGGAAAGGGAAAGAAGACGAUUGGAGACAGUUGAUGGAAGAAAGGAUGCACAAAGCCGAAAAUCGUGUGAAGAAAAGAAAAAAGAAAGAGAAAGGGAAAGGGGAG